rnacentral:tRNA from 1 species
UUUAAAUAAACCUAAUGUAUUAGGAUGCUACUGUUAAUAGCAAUUAAUUAUUUUUUUUUUAAUUAUUUAAAG